UCGAAUCCAGGAAAUUACCAACCCCGUAUCACCCUUCGUUCCGAGCACACAUACUUGAGUCCGAAUCCGAGCACAUUCACAGAUCAAUUGCAAGACGAUACACCAUUACGAACGAUUUCAGUCUCGCUACAAAACCCGGUACAGGUUCGUUGCGAAUCAAGGCACCCCGAAUCCAUGACCUCUCGCUACGAAUCAAUCGAUUAUACCCCAAUGCGAAUCUAUGUCUACGAACGUUCGUGAAAGAAGAGUGCGAGCCCAAUUCCGAUCGUUCGUAAGUUGGCGUUCACAAUACAUCAAUUUUGACUUUUUCUAGUUGACUUGCAGGAACAUCCGCUCAAAUCACCCCAUUUCAUACGUUCGCAUGUAAGACUUUCGCACUUGUUCACCCUGAUUGACUUACGAUUCGGAUUUCAUUCAUUCGCAGGUUAGGACUUUCACAGCGAAUUUGACUUUUCAAUUUUGUCUAUUUUUCAUCCCAAUUGCUUUCCAGCUCUCGUUCACAUCAUACUUCUGAUUACAACUUAAGCCAUGAUUGCAAGACCCAUUUUAUCACGAACCAGAAGAAUGUGAAGCACCAAAUUUUAUUUUGACUUUUUGCAUAGACUACCAAAACGAGAUCCAACACAGUUCAUCCCAUCUUCAUCAUUGUUAUCUGUCCUUGAUUGUUCUUCAAAGCACACCCAAUCAAAGAUUCAUAAAUAUUGUUCUCAAACAAAUUGAUUGAAACAGAUUGGUCAUUCAAUCUAGGCCUGUCAAAUCGUGUCAUCGUGUCGUGUUUCUGUCUGACACGACACAGAAACACGACACGACACGACAAUGUUUUUUGUAACACGAACACGACACGACACGAUGUCGUGUUUUUUUUCACUAACACGAAAACGAACCAAUUAAAAAACGACAACACGACACGACACGACAAAGAUAAUAUUACAUAACUAUUAUUUUAUUUGAUUCAUAUUUAAUCAUAUAUAACACGAUAAAAACGAAAAACACGACAAACACGACAAACACAUGCUCAAUCGUGUCAAUUUCGUGUGGAUUUGUAAACACGAACACGACAUCGUGUUUUUUAUAUUUGACACGAACACGACACGAAAACGAAUUCGAAUUUUGAUUUCGUCCCAAUUUCGUUUCGUGUCGUGUAUUUUUGUCGUGUCGUGUCAUAAAUUGACACCCCUAAUUCAAUCACAAGAUCAUACAAAAAAAAAUCAAGAUUGAUCGAAUAUUGAUUACAGAAUGAAUCGAACACAAGAAACACUCUAUAAUACAGACACUAUUAUCGAGAAGAUUAAUUCAAUGAAAAGAUUGUAAUCAAACCAAUGGAAAACACAUGAUUUUGAAUUGAUUAGAAUACAAGAACACUUAAUCGUCAAAUAGAUGAACACAUCGUUUUAAUAAUGAAUUUUGAUUUGAGGACCAAAUUUUGCGACAUCGACAGCAAUAUAUAUCAAAAAUGAUGAACAAUGGACGAAAAAUGUGAGCUCAAGAAUGAACAGUAAACGACACUAGUUAGGCUCAGGAACAAUAUGGAAUUGAAUUAAUGGAUUAAAACAAAAGAAACAAAUCCAUCCACAACAAACAAAUGAUCCAAUCCAAUCAAAAAUAUGAACUUAAGAACGAAUGGGAUUAAAAAAAAUACCAGAUGAACAGAAUACAUAAGUAUCCAUGAAUAGUUGCUUGAACAAAAAGCUUGAUUCCAAGACGCCAAAACAUCCAAAAUCUUCAAUAACUUGUGCAGAAAAUCAUCAAACCAAGAAUCGAUACUUAAACAAUCAAUAGAUCUUCAAAGACCCACUCUGAUACCACUUGUUGGGAAUAAAACCCUAAUUGAGAUUUGAUGAAUAAGAUGCGGAAAAUAAGAACAAACACAAAUAUGAAGAUUAUGUCGAAUGAUCACUCGAUUUAUUGAAUUAUGAGGAACAAAUUACACUUUAAGAAUAAGGAUCUAACUCUACAAGAAACCUCACAAUGUGGCGGCUACAUUUUGUCUCACUCUUUACCCUAAUUAUGAAUAAUACAUGACUAUUUAUAGGGAAAAGACAAGUCUUGGGCUUUUAACCUACACUUCAUCAAGGGGGCCCAUUUCCAUAAUCCAUGGAGUACUAUGAAACCCUAAAGUUAUGUUUCAAUUAUAUACUAUGUGAUGGUACUAUAAAGAUGAAAGUCACACCAAGCCCCCAGACGUUUCCACCGUCUAGUUCGGAGGUGUGACAGUACUCAAGACCAUUUAGUUGAUUCAGUAGGUGCGUGAUAGGUUGCGUAUCGUGCAGAGCAGGCAUAAAAAUUUACACUGACCAACGCCAAUCUGACCUUGAGUUUCAGAUGAGAGAUCUUGUGCUCCUAAAGGUUUCACCUUGGAAAGAUGUCAUCCGGUUUUGAAAGCGGGGAAAGUUAGGCCCCAUAUUUAUUGGUUCAUUCAGAUUUAUCGCUUGGGUGGGCAAGGUUACGUAUCGAUUGGAUUUACCCAUCGAGCUUUGCCAGAUUCACGACACAUUUCAUGUCUCUCAACUGCGGAAGUGUCUGACUAAUGAUUCCGAAAUGGUUCAUUUGGAUGACAUUCAGGUUGAUGAUUGCCUAAAUUAUAUAGAGAGACCGGAUGUGAUUCUAGACAGAAGGACGAAGACCUUGCGCAACAAGGUAGUAAGUUUGGUGAAGGUGCAAUGGCAUCACCAUAAAGGGUUCCAAAUGGACUUGGGAACCCAAAUAUGAUAUGAGGGAGCAUUAUCCUGAAUUAUUUGCAGCAACAGAUUUCGAGGAAGAAAUCUGAUUCAAGUGGGGGGGAGUUGUAACAACCGUUUCCUAGUAUGGUUCUUAUGAUUUUAGUUUCAUUAAUUUAGUUUGGGAUUUUGUCUAAGCCACGACGUGAUGAUGGAUUGACCACGAUAUGGCAGCCCGGUUUAGGAAAAUGCGCAUCCAUAACCAUCACGACGUGGCAAGGUCUUGGACAUGAACGUGACGACGACUAGGGUUUAAAACCCUAGGUUUCGGGAUUAGUGCCCCAUUUAAAAGCAUUAACUCCUAAGGUCGUCUCAUUUGGCAGCCUCCAUCCUCUAAAAGCGAUCCCCACCUAAACACAAGCCUCUUUAUGUGUGUUCUAAGAGUGUAAAACCAUUUUGUGAAUCUUAAGAAGAAGGAGUCAAUCUAGUGGUUUGGAAGCUUGGUUUUGGAUUGGAUCUAGCAUCUUUAUCUCAUUUCUGACCUUGUGGAGAUAUAAAGUAUCAACCUUGAUCACUGUAGCUUUAGAUCUUAUGCUAGGCCAUUUUAUGAGCUUUUAGUCCCAAUCUUCUUGUCUUUGGAGUUUGGUUAAACUCCAGAGCAUUUGAGUGCAUUAUAUAGUUCUAGACCAUGGUGUUGGUUGGAAAGUGGUCUUGCAUGACCUACGGUGGUGUCCAUGUAAUUGGUGCAACCAUUAAGAACCUAGGAUUAGAGAUCUCGACUUAUUGGAGUGUAUUAAUGGAUAAAGUUGGAAACUUUGUCCAAUAAGACCUUAAGGAGAUUUAAAUUUGAGCUUUGGAGCUCUUGGUGUAAAGGGAUACGAGCUUAAUCCAUUAAGUUGUUUAUGCCUAGUUACCAUGACGUGGUGGUUGGCCUGGUCGCGAUUGUUUUGUCGUAAUGCUCUCACGAUGUGGCCAAUGAGUGGUCACGACAUGAGGAUUGUCUGGGGUGACUUUGACCGUUGACUUUUUGACAUGGUUGACUUUUGGAUAAAUGGUUAGUGUGAGAGGUAGACUAAGGAUUAAUCUUGAAUAUUUCGAUAGGUGGGUUGUACCACCGGUUCCUUGAUUAGUUCGAGAUGUGGUUGAUCAUAUUCGAAUGUGAGGUGAGUUUUCUCACUAUACUAUGUAGAAUGUUAUAUUAUCUUCUUAUUGUUGCAUAUAUGUUGGAUUCAGCCCAUUAUGUUGGGUGGGGCCCGUUAUGUGGGCAGGGUCCGAUGUUAUGUAUGGUAUGUGGUAUUUCCGAGAACUCACUAAGCUUUGUGCUUAUUGUUUUGUGGUUUAAAUGUUUCAGGUACUUCUGGUUCCAAAGGGAAGUGCCCGACAUGAUUGCACAACAUCCCUGAAUUUUUAUUCCGCACUGUUUAUUUGAUUUACUCUGAUGUUAAGAAUAUUUAUACUUUGGUUGGUUUUGGAACAAAUGGUUGUAUCAUUUUGGGUGUUUUGAAAAUGAAAUUUUUACUAGUAUUUUUUGGGACCUUACACAUUCUUUUUAUUUAUUUUUCUACUCCAAACAUAUUUUUUGACUCCAAACAAACCUUCAACAUUUUUGGUUUUUCUCGAAAAACCCCUUACAUUUUAUAACUUUUUGUGAAAAAAAUGACUAAAAGGGUCGGAUAAAAAAUACAACUUUUUAGGCAAAAAGUAAAGAAAAUGUUUGAUAAAGUCUCAAUAUUUUGGGUCAGUAUAUGGUUUAAUCAUAAUAUUUAUUUUUUGAACAAAAAAAGUCUCGAUUAUUUAUUUUUAUACGUUGAUCUGUUAUUUUGUAUUGGAAAAAAAUAAAGGUUAUUUUAUUAAUUUGGGUAAAAUAUAAAAUAAUGGAGACUUUUAAAAAAUAAAAGUUAGAGUUAAGUCAUAAACUAACCUAAAAUAUUGAACUGAUAUUUUUUCAAAAAAAUAAAUUUAAACUUUAAUCCAGAAAAUAUUAUAUAAGAUAGAACAAAUUACAUGAAUGGUCCUUAAGGUUUUGCUUUUUUCCCUAAAGUAGUCCCUACGAAACUUUUUCCCCUCAGAUGGUACCUACGGAGCAAACCUUGCACACAAAAGGCCCCUAUGACUAACUUUGUUAACAGAUUCUGUUAAGUUUUAUUAAAUGACAAAAAUAUCCUUUGUUUUAUGCACACAGAUCCCCCCCCCCCUCUCUCUCUCUCUCUCUCACAACAAAAAGUCAAAAACAUUAGCCAUCAUCAUUUUCACACCACCUAAUUCACAAUCUUCACACCGUCUCCAUCAUUUUUUCAGGUCAAAAACAAUCUUCGUCAUUUUCACACCAACUAAAUCAAACCUAGAAACUUCAUCUUCAAAUAACCACCCAUAUCCCCACCCACCGUAUGCCCUUCUCUAUGUCAUUCCCCUUCCACCUGAUAUUCUACCGGAUAAACAGUGCUUCUGAAACCCUAAAAAUUAAAAGAGGCAGAUGAAUGUCAUGAUCGAUUGUUGAUGAAGGCAUAUCUGUGAAAUCAAAAACACUGGCUGCUGAUGAAGGUCAAAUGGAUACGAAUUAGAUCAACAAGCACAUCGCCAGUUGAGAACCAAGGGAACAAGUCUCCUUCUUCAUCUGAUCGGGGAGCAAAAUGUUCAAGGCUGCUUAACCCCUUGGAAGGGAACGAGCAGUAACAAUAGCGAAGGAAGGGAGGUUUGUGGGGUUUUUUUAACAACCGAAUGAGAGAUUAGAAGCGGCGGUGGCAGCUCCAUGUUCGCCGACAACUUCUUUGAUAGAAAGAACAAGAAAUCAAUCUCAUCAUAUCUGAACCCAUUAGAGGAGGUGACACUUCGACUUCUUGCUUUAUUUUGGUCUAGAGUCUGGGAAGGGAUUGGUGGUGGUGGAAGGCGGUGUCUCCAUUGGCGAUUUUGUUAGGGUUGGGGUUUAAAAGGGUUUAAAAGGAUCCAUCUGAUCCAGGUUUAAAGCUUUUUUUGUUGCAAAUCAAAACCCUGUCUUUCUGAAUCUAACGAUCUUCCCGUUCAUGAGAUUUCAAGAGAGAGGAGAAGAUGGAGGUGGCAUGUCAGCGAGGACGAUGUAAGGUGGGGGAGAGACAUGCCGGAGAAUAUGAAUUGGGCGGUGCUUUAAUGAGAGAGAGAGAGAGAGAGAGAGAGAUUUUUUAAUUUGAAAUGAAUAAAAUAUUAAAAAUAAAUAAAAACAAAGGGUAAUUUCGUCUUUUCACACACACACAUAACAAAUUAUGUUAACAAAGUUAGUCAUAGGGGCCUUUUGUGUGCAAGGUUUGCUCCGUAGGUACCAUCUGAGGGAAAAGAAUUUCGUAGGUACUAUUUUAGGGAAAAAAGAAAAACCUUAAGGACCAUUCGUGUAAUUUGUUCUAUAAGAUAUUUUAUGAAAUUAAGCCUUAUGCUUAAAGGUAGGGUUUUAUUUCAGCAAUGGUUGAAACUUAGAAACUUUUUAGUAUACACUGAUGGAGAUUUUAGGGAUAUUAAUUUUCAGAUGGUUCAAACCAAUCGAAAGGAUAUCUGAAUUUGAACACUGCACACCAUUUCUGCCGACGGUCUAGGAUCCGAAAUUCUGGAUGAAUGGAGAAUUGGAAUUACAUGUAUCGCCUGUAAUUGCCGAAUUCACCCCAUUAUCACCUGAAGCGUACGAUAUUUUCCUUAUCUAUCUUGCGAGGAAGACUAAUUCAAUCAAUCGAAGGGUGAGAUCCACCAUUUUCAUCAAGGUAACAUUCACACCCUGCCAUUGUUUUCUUCUUAAUUCUUAACUAUUUCGAAUUCCAUUAUCUGAGUACAAGAGGGCAUAUACCAGUAGUAUGCCACAUCUAAUGAUUUCUUUAUCAUUAUCAUAUUAUUAUUUAUGUUACAUUACUGUAGAUAAUAGUUUUAUAUGGUUACUUGAUGCAAUAGUGUGGCAACACAUUUUGGGUAUCGAUCAUUUGGAUAGUGCCUCUGUCGUAAAACCAAUCACCAACUGCCUGUGCAAUAGCCUGUAAAAAUUGUGUUUCAACUUACAAUGCUAUAGAAAUAGAGACGAUGAGUGAACAUGUUUGAAGGAGAUCGAGAUGUUUACCUUAUGGUUCAAUUCCCAAGCAGGAUUUCCUGACCAUUUUGAUUGGUAUUCACAUUGGCCAUGAGUAAAACAAUUGUUAACAAACCAUCCUCUUGAUGAACCAUUUCCAACCACCAAAAAUGCUUCUAAAAACUCCCAUCUGAAAUCUAAUCAAAAGCAACAAGAAAAAGAUAUUACAAGUGUCGUCUACUUUCUAUAAACUAACUAAGUGGCUGUUUGAUAACAUCUUUAUGGAGCCAUUCAGAGGUCAACAUUCAGCGAGUUUAUUGACCUUGUAGCCUUUGGAUCUGUGCAGAUGAACACACGUUUAUAUCUUCCUUGCAUUUGGUAAAGAGUCCAUUAGGAUCUGCUUGUGGCGUAGCCAAGAUGUUUUGUACCUUAAUAUUUACAAAAUCAAGUCAAAAAACAAGUGUAAGAUGUAAUCCAUUCAACUUGAUUUGUACUUAGGAGAAAAAAAAUUCUGAUAUAUUGUUUUAAAAGCUUACCUGG
rnacentral:lncRNA from 1 species